GAUGAACGCUGGCGGCGUGCCUAAUACAUGCAAGUCGAGCGAACGGACGAGAAGCUUGCUUCUCUGAUGUUAGCGGCGGACGGGUGAGUAACACGUGGAUAACCUACCUAUAAGACUGGGAUAACUUCGGGAAACCGGGGCUAAUACCGGAUAAUAUUUUGAACCGCAUGGUUCAAAAGUGAAAGACGGUCUUGCUGUCACUUAUAGAUGGAUCCGCGCUGCAUUAGCUAGUUGGUAAGGUAACGGCUUACCAAGGCAACGAUGCAUAGCCGACCUGAGAGGGGGAUCGGCCCACAGGGAACUGAGACACGGGCCAGACUCCUAGGGGGGGCAGCAGGAGGGAAUCUUCCGCAAGGGGCGAAAGCCUGACGGAGCAACGCCGGGGGGGUGAUGAAGGUUUUCGGAUUGAAAAACUUUGUUAUUAGGGAAAAACAUAUGUGUAAGUAACUGUGCACAUCUGGACGGUCCCAAAAAAGAAAGCCACGGCUAACUACGU
rnacentral:rRNA from 1 species